rnacentral:rRNA from 1 species
GACAGCCAGGAUGUUGGCUUAGAAGCAGCCAUCAUUUAAAGAAAGCGUAAUAGCUCACUGGUCGAGUCGGCCUGCGCGGAAGAUGUAACGGGGCUAAACCAUGCACCGAAGCUGCGGCAGCGACACUCAGGUGUUGUUGGGUAGGGGAGCGUUCUGUAAGCCUGUGAAGGUGGCCUGUGAGGGUUGCUGGAGGUAUCAGAAGUGCGAAUGCUGACAUAAGUAACGAUAAAGCGGGUGAAAAGCCCGCUCGCCGGAAGACCAA